GAUGAACGCUGGCGGCGUGCCUAAUACAUGCAAGUCGAGCGAACGGACGAGAAGCUUGCUUCUCUGAUGUUAGCGGCGGACGGGUGAGUAACACGUGGAUAACCUACCUAUAAGACUGGGAUAACUUCGGGAAACCGGAGCUAAUACCGGAUAAUAUUUCGAACCGCAUGGUUCAAAAGUGAAAGACGGUCUUGCUGUCACUUAUAGAUGGAUCCGCGCUGCAUUAGCUAGUUGGUAAGGUAACGGCUUACCAAGGCAACGAUGCAUAGCCGACCUGAGAGGGUGAUCGGCCACACUGGAACUGAGACACGGUCCAGACUCCUACGGGAGGCAGCAGUAGGGAAUCUUCCGCAAUGGGCGAAAGCCUGACGGAGCAACGCCGAGUGAGUGAUGAAGGUCUUCGGAUCGUAAAACUCUGUUAUUAGGGAAGAACAUAUGUGUAAGUAACUGUGCACAUCUUGACGGUACCUAAUCAGAAAGCCACGGCUAACUACGUG
rnacentral:rRNA from 1 species